rnacentral:misc_RNA from 1 species
GAUGAAGAACGUAGCGAAAUGCGAUACUUGGUGUGAAUUGCAGAAUCCCGUGAACCAUCGAGUCUUUGAACGCAAGUUGCGCCCGAAGCCAUUAGGCCGAGGGCACGCCUGCCUGGGCGUCACACGUCGUUGCCCCCCCAUCUACUCCUUCGGGAUUGCGGGGGGCGGAUGAUGGCUUCCCGUGCGCCUCGUCGCGCGGUUGGCAUAAAUGCCAAGUCCUCGGCGACGCACGCCACGACAAUCGGUGGUUGCGAAACCUCGGUUGCCCGUCGUGUGCGGUCGUCGCGCAUCGAGGGCUCGAAAAAAUUGCCGGGCUCCGGCUCGGCUUUCAACGCGACCCCAGGUCAGGCGGGGUUACCCGCUGAAUUUAAGCAUAUCAAUAAGCGGAGGA